UAAGUCUUUCCAUUUCAUUUUACUUUUAAUUAACUUUUGCAUCACAAUUCUAAGCCCUUCAGCCGUUGACUUUGCGGAGUUUCAUCGUAAAGCUUUGCAUUUCGAAAAGAUUUUAGAAACUAAUAAAGCUAAGGAUCUUCUAUCGAAAGAUCUUUUGUAUAAUAAAAAAAAUGCUUUUGAUCUUUUAAUUGUUCGCACUGCUAAUCCUUCUGAAACGCCGGAGGAAGUGCAAGUACGUCAGCGUAGUAAAAAUGAUCUUUUUAUAGAAUCAAAGAAACUUCUUCUC